rnacentral:sRNA from 1 species
UUUUAAACAAUCUGAACUUCCUGUGACCUGUGGUGAGGUGAAGGGCACUCUAUAUAAGGAGCGAUUCAAACAAGGAACCUCGAAGAAGUGUAUACAGAGUGAGGAUAAAAAGUGGUUCACUCCCAGGGAAUUUGAAAUUGAAGGAGACCGCGGAGCAUCCAAGAACUGGAAGCUAAGUAUACGCUGCGGUGGAUAUACCCUGAAAGUCCUGAUGGAGGUAUUCUAGUGACAGAUGGCUGAAACCAAGGAUUUAGCUGUCAUGCUUCACUAACACCAAGCUUUAGCAGAAUUUCUCAGUGCCCAGAAAUUCAUCAUGACUUCCUCUGCCCAGGUCUCCAUGCAUAUGUUAUUACUAACGUUCUCACCUGAACAUUACGUUGGCUGGCUUAUAUUACAGCUUAAUCCUCUAAGUACUUUAUUUCUUACCCUUUUGAAGGUUGGACAGUAAAUUGUGGCCUUGACUCUGCCAUUAAUAAACUGUGGAAUUUGGUCACAUGAAAGUAACUUAAGUUGGAGGGGAGGUCUUAAAUUUGCGGGG